UUGACAGAGUUUUCCCAGAAAAGAACAGAAAAGGAAACACUUCUGCCACAAAAAGCCAGACAUGCUCAUUACUGUGGUGGGAGACUUAAAGAGAGGACUUUGGAUAAUGAAACAUGAGGAGUGAAAUAAAGCCCUUUGUUUUCUGCUCACUCAGGAAUGCCCAUGUGGGACAGAGAGUGGAGAGCUGAGCCCAACUCAAUGAAGAGCUUUGCUGCUCACGGCUGUGUCUCAGAUCAACCUGACAGGUUGGCCUCCUUUCAAGAAGCCUGAAUCAUCUUCUUCGUUCAACACAAAUGAGUCAGAGGCUAAAGAACAGGGCUCAGGCCCUCACUGAGACAAGCACUGCAACUAGGUUGUAUUAAUUGCUAAAUCAGAACCACACCAGGGGGAGUGCCAAAUAAGUAAUGCUGCCAAAAACAAGAUGUUCACUGAGCGCUUUGUGUAUGUAUGAACUCACUUCAUCCUCAUGAUAAGUCCAGAAGAGAGACAGUGUGAGUGGGGGAGGAGCAGAGAGAGGAAGACAACAGAAUCUGAAGCAGGCUCCAGGCUCUGAGCUGUCAGCACAGAGCCCAAUGCAGGACUUGAACUCAUGAACUGGGAGAUCAUGACCUGAGCCGAAGUUGGACACUCAACUGACUAAGCCACCCAGGUACCCUACAAACAUCAUCAGUCCCUCAACCAUGUGCCACAGCAGGGCAGAGAUGCCCUGUGGGGGACAGGCAACGAGAGAGAUGAAACAGGCAGAGACAACUUGUGAGUCAGUGGAACCCAUUCCAACCAUCAAAUCUUUAAACAUGCAGCAAGGACCUUCAAACUUCCACGGCCACCAACUUCAUUCUGUGACUACACAGGGUCAACUUUUAGCCAAAAAUUGUGGAUUAAAAACAGAAUUGAACUCUGCCUGGAAGGCUGUACCUUCUCAUAUGAUUUUUAAGUUUAGCAUUCCAAACCUCUUUUUCCAAAUGCCCAAUUCCUAUUUCAAGGUCAGGCAAAUAGAUGUUUUAACUUCAUCAGAAAAAUCUGUUUAAUGUUAUCAAUAGCUUCUUUUUAGAAGUCCCUAAGAGCAUAACUCAAAGCAGAAUGCAAAUCUAAGCACAUCUGUGCUACAAAACAUACAAGAGAUGCGAGAAAGAUGGCUAAAUUUUCACUACAAAACCCCCAGGAAUUUUUAGUCCAGUACAUUUUAGUCAGACUUCCCGAGGCAACAUUAUUUAUUCUGACAGGUUAAGAUACUUUUAACCUCAAUCAUCUAUGAACCGACAAACAUGAUUAACAGCUGUGAUCCACCAGGCCAGGGCAUGGCAACACAGGUGAGAGCUAGAAAGGAAAAGGAACAAGGGACACAUGGCACCUGUUUUGCAAACAAAAGCAAAGAUCAGAUUCUACAUCAUCCUUCCACCUGGCUACCCAAGUAUAGUAAUAACCUUAUAACCACUUGGUAUUUUCCAGGUCUUCUGACCAGGGUCAUGAACCUGGUAACCAUAGACACAUCACAGCAUUUAUCAGUAACUCAGUCUAGUAUUUUAUAAGACAGAAAUAGAGUGGAGUGCUGUCUUUCAAAUUUGUGCAUUUGUUUUUGUGCUCUUCCAUAGUUUGUUGGCAGUUGUCUUGCCUACUGUGGGUAAU